GCUUGUCACAGGUAUAUUACCAAGGUAAUUUCUUUAGGUAAUUCCUUAAUUACCAAGGCAAUUUUCAAAGGUUAUUUCUGUUGGGUUUAUGGAGCCUUUUUAUGCCCUUCAGGUGUGUUGAAGUCGCAGAGCUGGGUCACUCAGGUGUGUCACAUCCAGGUGUGUCACACAGCUGGGACACUCAGAUCUGUCACACUCAGGUGUGUCACACUCAGGUGUGUCACAUCCAGGUGUGUCACAUCCAGGUGUGUCACACAGCUGGGUCACACAGAUCUGUCACAU